rnacentral:lncRNA from 1 species
ACCAUCUAUAUUAAAUUUCAAGCUCCCAAGUGGUGGAGCCAUCAUGUAAACUAUGUCAUGGUUAAAUAGCUGAACCAAAAACCACAACUGAGAAAGAAAUGUAGUGAUCAUUUGGAACAGAGCUAGAAAAAAUAGGUUCAACAUUAAAAAAGCCUUAUUGUAAUGAGGUUUUUAUAAUCCUCAAUAGACAUAUAUUUCUUGUUAAAGACUUUGUUAUUUCUUGCAAGCCACAAGGACCAAAGUAUGAUAUAGAAGGAGGAUACUAAAUAAGUUGCAUGACACAUUAGAAGGAUAUAAUUCAAUACAACCCUAAAAGAAAUCAGAUAAAGAUCUAGGAGUGAUCCAAGUAAAAAUCCCAACAUAGAAAAUACUUA